UGCCAGCAGCCGCGGUAAUACGGAGGGGGCAAGCGUUAUUCGGAAUUAUUGGGCGUAAAGGGCGCGUAGGCGGCUUGACAAGUCAGGGGUGAAAUCCCUCGGUUCAACCGAGGAAUUGCCUCUGAAACUGUCAAGCUUGAGGCCGGGAGAGGGUAGUGGAAUUCCCAGUGUAGCGGUGAAAUGCGUAGAUAUUGGGAGGAACACCGGUGGCGAAGGCGGCUAACUGGCUCGGUACUGACGCUGAGAUGCGAAAGCGUGGGGAGCAAACAGGAUUAGAUA
rnacentral:rRNA from 1 species